rnacentral:rRNA from 1 species
UACGUAGGUGGCAAGCGUUGUCCGGAUUUACUGGGCGUAAAGAGCGCGCAGGCGGUCGAUCAAGUCGCGUGUGAAAGCCCCCGGCUCAACUGGGGAGGGUCACGCGAUACUGAUCGACUCGAAGGCAGGAGAGGGUAGUGGAAUUCCCGGUGUAGUGGUGAAAUGCGUAGAUAUCGGGAGGAACACCAGUGGCGAAGGCGAACUACCUGGCCUGUUCUUGACGCUGAGGCGCGAAAGCUAGGGGAGCAAACGGGG